AGUGAACGCUGGCGGUAGGCCUAACACAUGCAAGUCGAACGGCAGCACAGUAAGAGCUUGCUCUUACGGGUGGCGAGUGGCGGACGGGUGAGGAAUACAUCGGAAUCUACUUUUUCGUGGGGGAUAACGUAGGGAAACUUACGCUAAUACCGCAUACGACCUACGGGUGAAAGCAGGGGAUCUUCGGACCUUGCGCGAUUGAAUGAGCCGAUGUCGGAUUAGCUAGUUGGCGGGGGUAAAGGCCCACCAGGGCGACGAUCCGUAGCUGGUCUGAGAGGAUGAUCAGCCACACUGGAACUGAGACACGGUCCAGACUCCUACGGGAGGCAGCAGUGGGGAAUAUUGGACAAUGGGCGCGAGCCUGAUCCAGCCAUACCGCGUGGGUGAAGAAGGCCUUCGGGUUGUAAAGCCCUUUUGUUGGGAAAGAAAAGCAGCAGGUUAAUACCCCGCUGUUCUGACGGUACCCAAAGAAUAAGCACCGGCUAACUUCGUG
rnacentral:rRNA from 1 species